UUCUUUUGUCAGCUGCUUAGUAUCUAACACCCAGGUUCUACCGUCUCUCCAUCCUUUUGUUAUUAGUUCUUACUAGAAGCCUAGUGUCCUUCAGAGGCUGGGUUUAUUGAGAGACAGAGCCACUGAGCUGGCACUAAAAGAAGGUACUCCUUAAGAGAAAAUCUAAGUCAAGAGAGACAGCCGGUAACAGAUAGGCUGCCCCUCUGCUCACUUUUCUGUUUCACAGACACAAGGUCUUUUUGUCCCAAGAAAGCCUCCUGGCUUAGCUGUGUGACUAAAUGCUAUUUGCCCUCUUCAGUGGACCUCUAUUCUCAAGAUUCUCUUGUUUUCUCACCAUCCCAUUUGAGAUGCUU
rnacentral:lncRNA from 1 species